AACCCCUGGCACUGGGCAAAGAGACACCUUGAUGUUGGUAUUGUUCUAGCAGUCAGGGGCAGAGCAGAUGGCAGUCCUUUUUCCUCCUAGCUUGGAAUGUGGCAUGACUGCCAAAGCUCUUAUGCCUAGGACAUCCAA